UCCAGCAUGCAUCUAUUCACCAAUAUAUUAUUUAUCGCCUGGCUUUUCUACUAGGCAAAUGAUUCUCAACUGGCGGUGACAUCGCUCCUCACUUCUCCCGGGGGACAGUGGGCAGUGCCCGGGGUCACUUUUGAUUGUCACAAUUGGAGGAGGCCCCUGACAUCUGGUGAGUGGAGGCCAGGGAUGCUGCUUAACAUCUUCAAUGCACAGGAAGGCCCAGCCACAAAGCACGAUCCAGCCCAAAACGCCGGCAGUGCCUCGGCGGAAAUGUCACCUCCUACACCAUCAACUCUGUGAGAGCGGGGAUUUGUUUGUCACGACUGCGUCCUGGUGCCCAGACCAGAGCCUGCACAUCACGGUGCUCCGUGGAUGGGUUUGAAGGAGCGGACCUGGACCAGAGCGUGCUGUAGGCCACAGUCAGUGCCGGCCCACUCAGAACUGGCCACUCAGCGGUUACCCAUCUCUAUCGCUUUUUUUCCCAGAGUCGGAAACUUGGAACCACUUUCAACUUUUCCUCUUCUGCUUCCCCUCCAGGUUCCACAGGGGGGCCUCGCUGCUGGGCAGGGGCCUUCGGGCUCCUCCAUCCUCCUCCGCCCAGCUCUGCCCUCCCAGCGAGGAAUCUCCUGUGGAACAUGGUGGGAUCUCAUUGUCCCUGCUGCAGGAAGUGGAGCAAAGAAACCGAGUCCCUCCCUUUCC
rnacentral:lncRNA from 1 species